GCCGAGAACCCGUCCGCCGCUUCGCCGCCGCCGAAUCGCCAUCGUCCGAGUUCCGCCGUGCCACCGUCAAAGAAGCCUCUCGGUUCUCCUCAACCCGUUGAUACCACCUCCGUGUCGCAAAGACUCCAGAAGGAAUUAAUGGCUCUCAUGUUGAGUGGAGU